AAUCAAGAUAAGAAUCCAAUAAUCCCAUUUCUUACUUAAAUGAAGACUAAAUGGAUUACUGCUGCUAAGAGCUUCCCCUAGAUUUGUUGUACGAAGAGCAUUUCCAUUUUUCCUUUCUAUUAAACACAGAGUACUUUCCUUCCGAUUGGCCCUCUCUGAAUCUCAUCCGGUGCACUUGCAGGAAAUCCACCUGUACCAGCCAAAGGAUCCAAAUGUCAUUUUUACAGCAUCCGUUAUUUAACAUGAUUCUCAUGCUCACUAGAUAUAUAUUUCAUAUUUGUCCCUCCAUGACAAGUCAUGUGAUCUAUUUGUUUUUUUUUCUUGUUAUGCAUGAAUUCUAACAGCGCCUACGGCAGAACAGACAUAUUGGGGACAUGGUAUUUAUGGUAUUCAAUCUGCAUCAAAGUUUUAUUUCGGGAAGCACAUAUCCCUUCUUAGCUUGGGGGAAUGUGCUAUGCUUGCAGCAAUGAUACCAGCGCCAGAGCUGCGGUCACCAUUCAGGGACUCUAGCAGAGGAAAGAUCUUCCAAGCUAGAGUUUUGAAAAGGAUGGUCGAAUUUGGAUCUCUUGAUGUCGAGGUGGCAGGCAUUGCUGUAAAACAACCUCUCGUAUUUAAUUCUGGAAGCUCAGAUCAUUCAGAUGGGUUCUUGAUUAUAUCGUCUUUUUCUCAAGAGCAUUCAGGUAUGAACACAGUGUGACGGAGGGUUAUUCGAAGUGAAAGAGGACAUGGAGAGAAGGGCAACUGGCGUAAAACGAUCGGGGAAGCAUUGAUUUCUGUCAUGGUUGAUGUUUCAGAUCAAAAGAAACAUCUUUUCAUGAUCAGACGUAUGACACCAACAAGAAGGGAAUUCAUUACCAAUUUGUGUGAUAUACAAAUUGGUGCAAUGACCUCAUGCAUAAAGAUCAUUCGAAGGGCUCAGCAAGGAACUCCAAAAAGAUCCCGGGAGAAUUCAGAAUUGGGCCUUUUGAUAGCACCAAAAGAUCCCAAAUGGAGGGACUUCAAACAUAAGUUCCUCCGUGUAAACGUUCUCUCAACUUUCGAACACUGAAGUGCAUA